rnacentral:rRNA from 1 species
UACAGAGGGUGCGAGCGUUGUUCGGAAUUACUGGGCGUAAAGCGCGCGCAGGCGGCCCUUUAAGUCCGUCGGUCAAAUGCCGGGGCUCAACCCCGAGCGUGCCGAGGAUACUGGAGGGCUGGGGACACGUAGAGGCAAGCGGAAUUCCGGGUGUAGCGGUGGAAUGCGUAGAGAUCCGGAAGAACACCGGAGGCGAAGGCGGCUUGCUGGGCGUGAUCUGACGCUGAGGCGCGAAAGCGUGGGGAGCGAACAGG